GAUGAACGCUGGCGGCAUGGCUAAGGCAUGCAAGUCGAAUGGGUUUAGACCCAUGGCAAACGGGAGAGUAACACAUUGGUAAUCUGCCCCGAAGACGAGGAUAACCCGGAGAAAUCUGGAAUAAUACUCGAUAAAAGUGGGGGGACAAAAGUCGUUCCCACUUAAAGCUCCGACGCUUCGGGAGGAGCCUAUGGCUUAUCAGCUUGUUGGUGAGGUAAAAGCUCACCAAGGCAAUGACGAGUAGCGGGUGUGAGAGCAUGGCCCGUCUCACUGGGACUGAGACACUGCCCAGACUCCUACGGGAGGCUGCAGUCACGAAUCUUCCACAAUGGCCGAAAGGCUGAUGGAGCAAUGCCGCGUGUAUGAAGACGCCCUUCGGGGUGUAAAAUACUUUUAUCUGGGACGAAUCAAUGACGGUACCAGAUGAAUAAGGGGCUGCUAACCUCG
rnacentral:rRNA from 1 species